rnacentral:rRNA from 1 species
UACGGAAGGUCCAGGCGUUAUCCGGAUUUAUUGGGUUUAAAGGGAGCGUAGGCCGGAGAUUAAGUGUGUUGUGAAAUGUAGACGCUCAACGUCUGACUUGCAGCGCAUACUGGUUUCCUUGAGUACGCACAACGUUGGCGGAAUUCGUCGUGUAGCGGUGAAAUGCUUAGAUAUGACGAAGAACUCCGAUUGCGAAGGCAGCUGACGGGAGCGCAACUGACGCUUAAGCUCGAAGGUGCGGGUAUCAAACAGG